AAUUUGAGAUUCACCGUUUAGGGCUCAUCGGAAGAUGGCCGUCCGGCUUNCUGGNCNUCGUUCGUUUAGUCGAGNUCUCUGCUCUUAAUUGAGUGCGGAUCGAGGCUAGACCGAUUACCUGAAGAAAUUGGAGUGUUCAAAGCAGAUUUUCUUUGUCUUGUACAUAUUAGCAUGGGACAAUGAAAGAAGACCGCGCUAGAGUCUGGUAGUAACUUUAGCGCGGUAAUGAUCGAUAGGGGUGAAGGGGGCGGUUGGUAUUCAGCGGCUAGAGGUGAAAUUCUUAGAUUCGCUGAAGACUUCCCGAAGCAAAAGCGUUCCGCUACUGUACCUCCGUUGAUCAAGAACGAAAGUUAGGGGAUCGAAGACGAUCAGAUACCGUCGUAGUCUUAACUAUAAACGAUGCGGACCAGAGUCUAAAAAUCGUGCUCAACAACUUUCCUAGAAUCUUGCGAGAAAUCAUNGAGUUUUUGCGUUCUGGGGGAAGUANG
rnacentral:rRNA from 1 species